rnacentral:rRNA from 1 species
UACGAAGGGGGCGAGCGUUGUUCGGAAUUACUGGGCGUAAAGGGCGCGUAGGCGGCCCCUUUUGUCGCGUGUGAAAGCCCCGGGCUCAACCUGGGAACGGCGCGCGAAACGGGGGGGCUUGAGUUCGGGAGAGGAGAGUGGAAUUCCCAGUGUAGAGGUGAAAUUCGUAGAUAUCAGGAGGAACACCGGUGGCGAAGGCGGGUCUCUGGGCCAUUACUGACGCUGAGGAGCGAAAGCGUGGGGAGCGAACAGG